rnacentral:misc_RNA from 1 species
UUCGGUUUUUAAUUCCAUAGGAUCCUAGAAAACAUAUCUUCUAUUUCCUGUGUUUUUCCUAUUCCCAUGUUUCUGAAAUCCCAUGUUCCAAAGGAGCUGGGCUUAAAGUUGUAUGGGCCAGAGCACAGAAGCCCAUCUAGGGCUAUUUCAGAGGGCUUAUCCCAGCUCCAUAAGUACGGCUCCCUGCUACAGUUACAUGGAGCUGCCAGAGCUAGUGUUAGUUCAUUUUGGUGAGAGAGAGACAAACAGCUUCAUGCAACAAUGCACAAGAUUACAUAGAAACUGGGUCUGUUUUGGGUGGAGAAGCUUUUGUGUGACAAUGCACAAGAUUACAAUGACCUAUGCAACCCAACCAAACACCAACAUAUUGCAUGCAGCUAGACUGGCUUGGGCUUAUGCAGGAUUCGAAUUUUCCAAGGAACCAAUGACACACAUUAUGUACCGAAUCCAUUUUUGUAGCUUUGUAUUCAUCUUUUAUAAAUACUCAUUUGUAGCAUACCAAAGGUAAUAGAUCCAGAUUAGAUGAAACCACU